GUGGCAUUGUUAGAUGCUUAGACAGGUACUGGAAGGUUUAGGUGGGGAAGCACUCUGAAAGGCUGGAUUUACUCUGAUUCAAAGGAAGUAUACAGAUGGGGUUCUUAGCUCAUGAAAGUUAGUAGGAGAGAGUAAGAAGAAAGAAGCAGUUCACGCCUUUGUAUGACCUGAACUGGAGAACCCACAUCAAAGUAGGGAUUUGUGGGGCCCCCGCUACUACUAUGGUUCAGCUGCAAAGAGUGCACCUGUGAUACCAGCUCCUAGCAAUCCAACACCAAUAAUCUUGAUUCUGCAAAUUUUCACUUCCAAGAAGUUUACAAAACACAUCUGUAAUAUUUAAAGGU
rnacentral:lncRNA from 1 species